GCGGCCUCUUGAUGUCAACACUUGUUCCACCGAUGCUACAGGACAGACUUCAUAUGUUCGUUUUACUGAAGAGGAAACAGCAAAUGAGUGAACAUGGGUAUGUUUCAGCUUGGAAGACAAAACUGGACAAAGGCUGAAUUUACAACAUCGCUAAUACUGCUGUCUGCUUUAGAGUCAAAAUGUAUCUUUAGCUUGUGAAUUUGAUCAGAUUUCCAGGGUUUAAAGUAACAAAAAUGUGCCUCCACACAAUAAAAUGCCACAAUGUUUUUC